rnacentral:rRNA from 1 species
CGAUUAGGCAGCAGUGGGGAAUAUUGGUCAAUGGGCGCAAGCCUGAACCAGCCAUGCCGCGUGCAGGAUGACGGUCCUAUGGAUUGUAAACUGCUUUUGUACAGGAAGAAACAGUUCUACGUGUAGAACCUUGACGGUACUGUAAGAAUAAGGAUCGGCUAACUCCGUGCCAGCAGCCGCGGUAAUACGGAGGAUCCAAGCGUUAUCCGGAAUCAUUGGGUUUAAAGGGUCCGUAGGCGGGUUAAUAAGUCAGUGGUGAAAGCCCUACGCUCAACGUAGGAACGGCCAUUGAUACUGUUAGUCUUGAAUUAUUAGGAAGUAACUAGAAUAUGUAGUGUAGCGGUGAAAUGCUUAGAGAUUACAUGGAAUACCAAUUGCGAAGGCAGGUUACUACUAAUGGAUUGACGCUGAUGGACGAAAGCGUGGGUAGCGAACAGGAUUAGAUACCCUGGUAGUCCACGCCGUAACGAUGGAUACUAGCUGUUCGGAGCAAUCUGAGUGGCUAAGCGAAAGUGAUAAGUAUCCCACCUGGGGAGUACGUUCGCAAGAAUGAAACUCAAAGGAAUUGACGGGGGCCCGCACAAGCGGUGGAGCAUGUGGUUUAAUUCGAUGAUACGCGAGGAACCUUACCAAGGCUUAAAUGUAGUUUGACAGAUUUGGGAACAGAUUUUUCUUCGGACAAUUACAGGUGCUGCAUGGUGUCGUCAGCUCGGGCCGGGAGGGUCAGGUAGUCCUAUACGAGCGCACCCU